rnacentral:rRNA from 1 species
UACGUAGGGGGCAAGCGUUGUCCGGAAUCAUUGGGCGUAAAGAGCGUGUAGGCGGCUCGGUAAGUCCGCUGUGAAAGUCCAGGGCUCAACUCUGGAAUGCCGGUGGAAACUGUCGAGCUAGAGUCCGGAAGAGGCGAGUGGAAUUCCUGGUGUAGCGGUGAAAUGCGCAGAUAUCAGGAGGAACACCAAUGGCGAAGGCAGCUCGCUGGGACGGUACUGACGCUGAGACGCGAAAGCGUGGGGAGCAAACAGG